UGCAGGAACAAAAGACCGACUGGAGGAACGUUCAGGCUUCCUCGCAAAGUGAAACAUAUCAUAUUGCAGAAGAUGUUGCAAGGACCUGACCAUGGAAAUGCAAUAGAAGCUCUCUCAUGCAGACACACACAUUUAUGUCGUUCCGACCUUCUGGAGACCUGAGAAAAAUGCCUACCUCUUAAGGACCACCCUUUCUAGAUAUCUAAAGGAAGAUUUUGCCUUGACCUGAGAUCUACAAAAAUGUGAGGAAGCAGGACCUGAUCUCCCCUCCUGAAACUGCUGCUGCCAUGUAAUCAGGGAAAGUCUAAAUAACAGAGGAGGCAUGCGACCUUUCGUCAGAGC